UCUCCGUAGGUGAACCUGCGGAGGGAUCAUUACAGGGUUCUCGCCCUCGCGGGUAGAUCUCCCACCCACUGUUAUCGUUACCGUGUUGCUUUGGCGGGCCGCCGGGCCCCGCUCGGCCGCCGGCUCCGGCUGGCGCGCGCCCGCCAGAGGCCCAGCAAACUCUGAAUGUUAGUGUCGUCUGAGUACUAUAUAAUAGUUAAAACUUUCAACAACGGAUCUCUUGGUUCUG
rnacentral:misc_RNA from 1 species